GACGUAGGAGGCGAGCGUUGUCCGGAUUCAUUGGGCGUAAAGAGCUCGUAGGCGGUUUGUCGCGUCUGCCGUGAAAGUCCGGGGCUCAACUCCGGAUCUGCGGUGGGUACGGGCAGACUAGAGUGAUGUAGGGGAGACUGGAAUUCCUGGUGUAGCGGUGAAAUGCGCAGAUAUCAGGAGGAACACCGAUGGCGAAGGCAGGUCUCUGGGCAUUAACUGACGCUGAGGAGCGAAAGCAUGGGGAGCGAACAGG
rnacentral:rRNA from 1 species